GGCGGCUAUAGUUUUCACUUACAAUGAAAAAUACCCUUUAGGGCGCCUUUAUAUUGUUAAAGAUUUAAU
rnacentral:tRNA from 1 species